rnacentral:sRNA from 1 species
AGCGAGAAAGCGUUGCCGCAGGCAACGACCCGAAGGGCGAAGCGCGCAGCGCUGAGUCAUCCUUCCCCCUCAUCCU